UAGCAUUCAAUAAGCGGAGGAAAAGAAACUAACAAGGAUUCCCCUAGUAACUGCGAGUGAAGCGGGAAAAGCUCAAAUUUAAAAUCUGGUGGUCUCUGGCCAUCCGAGUUGUAAUUUAGAGAAGCGUUUUCCGCGCUGGACCGUGCACAAGUCUCCUGGAAUGGAGCGUCAUAGAGGGUGAGAAUCCCGUCUUUGGCACGGACCCCCAGGGCUUUCGUGAUGCGCUCUCGAAGAGUCGAGUUGUUUGGGAAUGCAGCUCAAAAUGGGUGGUGAACUCCAUCUAAAGCUAAAUAUAGGCGAGAGACCGAUAGCGAACAAGUACCGUGAGGGAAAGAUGAAAAGCACUUUGGAAAGAGAGUGAAACAGUACGUGAAAUUGUUGAAAGGGAAACGCUUGAAGUCAGUCGCGUCUACCGAGACUCAGCCUCGCCUCGGCUUGGUGUACUUCUCGGUUGACGGGUCAGUGUCAAUUUUGCCCCUCGGAUAAUGGCAGCAGAAAGGUGGCACCUUUCACGGGUGUGUUAUAGUCUUCUGUCGCAUGCGGGGGUCGGGAUUGAGGAACUCAGCACGCACCUUCUUGGUGUCGGGGCUUCGGCUCACGCUACGUGCUUAGGAUGCUGGCGUAAUGGCUUUAAACGACCCGUCUUGAAACACGGACCAAGGAGUCUAACAUGCCCGCGAGUGUUCGGGUGGAAAACCCGGGCGCGUAAUGAAAGUGAAAGUUGGGACCCCUGUCGUGGGGGGCACCGAUGCCCGGACCAGACCUUCUGUGACGGAUCCGCGGUAGAGCGUGCAUGUUGGGACCCGAAAGAUGGUGAACUAUGCCUGAGUAGGGUGAAGCCAGAGGAAACUCUGGUGGAGGCUCGUAGCGAUUCUGACGUGCAAAUCGAUCGUCAAAUUUGGGUAUAGGGGCGAAAGACUAAUCGAA
rnacentral:rRNA from 1 species